UACGGGGGGGGUAAGCGUUGUUCGGAAUUACUGGGCGUAAAGGGCUCGUAGGCGGCCAACUAAGUCAUACGUGAAAUCCCUCAGCUUAACUGGGGAACUGCGUGUGAUACUGGAUGGCUUGGAUUUGGGAGAGGGAUGCGGAAUUCCAGGUGUAGCGGUGAAAUGCGUAGAUAUCUGGAGGAACACCGGUGGCGAAGGCGGCAUUCUGGACCGACAUUGACGCUGAGGAGCGAAAGCGUGGGGAGCAAACAGG
rnacentral:rRNA from 1 species